AACGUAGGGGGCGAGCGUUGUCCGGAAUUACUGGGCGUAAAGGGCGCGUAGGCGGCCUGGUAAGUCAGGGGUGAAAUCCCACGGCUCAACCGUGGAAUUGCCUUUGAAACUGCUGGGCUUGGAUCCUGGAGAGGGUGGCGGAAUUCCUGGUGUAGGAGUGAAAUCCGUAGAUAUCAGGAGGAACACCGGUGGCGAAGGCGGCCACCUGGACAGGUAUCGACGCUGAGGCGCGAAAGUGUGGGGAGCAAACAGG
rnacentral:rRNA from 1 species